rnacentral:rRNA from 1 species
UACGUAGGGGGCAAGCGUUAUCCGGAUUCAUUGGGUUUAAAGGGUGCGUAGGUUGUUUUAUAAGUUAGCGGUGAAAUACCGAUGCUCAACAUCGGGGCUGCCGCUGAUACUGUAGGACUAGAGAUCGGAUGCAGCAGGCGGAAUGUGUAGUGUAGCGGUGAAAUGCAUAGAUAUUACACAGAACUCCGAUUGCGAAGGCAGCAUACCGGCGGCGAUCUGACGCUGAGGCACGAAAGCGUGGGUAUCGAACAGG